GAUGGGAACAGAGGAACUUCUGCUAAUCCCGGAUGAGCCGGAAGGUGAAAGAUUUAUCGCCUAGAGAUGAGCUCGCGUCUGAUUAGCUAGUUGGUAAGGUAAAAGCUUACCAAGGCAACGAUCAGUAGCUGGUCUGAGAGGAUGAUCAGCCACACUGGGACUGAGACACGGCCCAGACUCCUACGGGAGGCAGCAGUGGGGAAUUUUCCGCAAUGGGCGCAAGCCUGACGGAGCAAGACCGCGUGGGGGAGGAAGGCUCUUGGGUUGUAAACCCCUUUUCUCAGGGAAGAACCAAAUGACGGUACCUGAGGAAUCAGCCUCGGCUAACUCCGUGCCAGCAGCCGCGGUAAUACGGAGGAGGCAAGCGUUAUCCGGAAUGAUUGGGCGUAAAGCGUUCGUAGGUGGCUAUUCAAGUCUGCUGUCAAAGACAGAAGCUCAACUUCUGAAAGGCAGUGGAAACUGAGUAGCUGGAGUGCGGUAGGGGCAGAGGGAAUUCCCGGUGUAGCGGUGAAAUGCGUAGAGAUCGGGAAGAACACCGGUGGCGAAAGCGCUCUGCUGGGCCGCAACUGACACUGAGGGACGAAAGCUAGGGGAGCGAAUGGGAUUAGAUACCCCCNUUUAUCACACCCNUUACCGNCCGUCCGG
rnacentral:rRNA from 1 species